rnacentral:rRNA from 1 species
AACUCCCAACCCAAUGUGAACGUUACCAAACUGUUGCCUCGGCGGGAUCUCUGCCCCGGGUGCGUCGCAGCCCCGGACCAAGGCGCCCGCCGGAGGACCAACCUAAAACUCUUAUUGUAUACCCCCUCGCGGGUUUUUUUUAUAAUCUGAGCCUUCUCGGCGCCUCUCGUAGGCGUUUCGAAAAUGAAUCAAAACUUUCAACAACGGAUCUCUUGGUUCUGGCAUCGAUGAAGAACGCAGCGAAAUGCGAUAAGUAAUGUGAAUUGCAGAAUUCAGUGAAUCAUCGAAUCUUUGAACGCACAUUGCGCCCGCCAGUAUUCUGGCGGGCAUGCCUGUCCGAGCGUCAUUUCAACCCUCGAACCCCUCCGGGGGGUCGGCGUUGGGGAUCGGCCCUCCCUUAGCGGGUGGCCGUCUCCGAAAUACAGUGGCGGUCUCGCCGCAGCCUCUCCUGCGCAGUAGUUUGCACACUCGCAUCGGGAGCGCGGCGCGUCCACAGCCGUUAAACACCCAACUUCUGAAAUGUUGACCUCGGAUCAGGUAGGAAUACCCGCUGAACUUAA